rnacentral:rRNA from 1 species
CACGUAGGGCGCAAGCGUUGUCCGGAAUUAUUGGGCGUAAAGAGCUCGUAGGCGGUCUGUUACGUCUGCUGUGAAAACCCGGGGCUUAACCCUGGGCUUGCAGUGGAUACGGGCAGACUAGAGGCAGGUAGGGGAGAAUGGAAUUCCGGGUGUAGCGGUGAAAUGCGUAGAUAUCCGGAGGAACACCGGUGGCGAAGGCGGCUUCCUGGACCGACACUGACGCUGAGGCGCGAAAGCUAGGGGAGCAAACGGG